UAUCAUUAACUGAAUCCAUAGGUUAAUGAGGCGAACCGGGGGAACUGAAACAUCUAAGUACCCCGAGGAAAAGAAAUCAACCGAGAUUCCCCCAGUAGCGGCGAGCGAACGGGGAGCAGCCCAGAGCCUGAAUCAGUAUGUGUGUUAGUGGAAGCGUCUGGAAAGGCGCGCGAUACAGGGUGACAGCCCCGUACACAAAAAUGCACAUGCUGUGAGCUCGAUGAGUAGGGCGGGACACGUGGUAUCCUGUCUGAAUAUGGGGGGACCAUCCUCCAAGGCUAAAUACUCCUGACUGACCGAUAGUGAACCAGUACCGUGAGGGAAAGGCGAAAAGAACCCCGGCGAGGGGAGUGAAAAAGAACCUGAAACCGUGUACGUACAAGCAGUGGGAGCACGCUUAGGCGUGUGACUGCGUACCUUUUGUAUAAUGGGUCAGCGACUUAUAUUCUGUAGCAAGGUUAACCGAAUAGGGGAGCCGAAGGGAAACCGAGUCUUAACUGGGCGUUAAGUUGCAGGGUAUAGACCCGAAACCCGGUGAUCUAGCCAUGGGCAGGUUGAAGGUUGGGUAACACUAACUGGAGGACCGAACCGACUAAUGUUGAAAAAUUAGCGGAUGACUUGUGGCUGGGGGUGAAAGGCCAAUCAAACCGGGAGAUAGCUGGUUCUCCCCGAAAGCUAUUUAGGUAGCGCCUCGUGAAUUCAUCUCCGGGGGUAGAGCACUGUUUCGGCAAGGGGGUCAUCCCGACUUACCAACCCGAUGCAAACUGCGAAUACCGGAGAAUGUUAUCACGGGAGACACACGGCGGGUGCUAACGUCCGUCGUGAAGAGGGAAACAACCCAGACCGCCAGCUAAGGUCCCAAAGUCAUGGUUAAGUGGGAAACGAUGUGGGAAGGCCCAGACAGCCAGGAUGUUGGCUUAGAAGCAGCCAUCAUUUAAAGAAAGCGUAAUAGCUCACUGGUCGAGUCGGCCUGCGCGGAAGAUGUAACGGGGCUAAACCAUGCACCGAAGCUGCGGCAGCGACGCUGAUGCGUUGUUGGGUA
rnacentral:rRNA from 1 species